rnacentral:rRNA from 1 species
UACAGAGGUCCCGAGCGUUGUUCGGAUUCACUGGGCGUAAAGGGUGCGUAGGUGGUGGGGUAAGUCUCGUGUGAAAGCUCGCAGCUUAACUGCGAAAAGUCACGGGAUACUAUUCCGCUGGAGGCUUGGAGGGGGGACUGGAAUACUUGGUGUAGCAGUGAAAUGCGUAGAUAUCAAGUGGAACACCAGUGGCGAAGGCGAGUCCCUGGACAAGACCUGACACUGAGGCACGAAAGCCAGGGGAGCAUACAGG